UGUUAGCCUUUCUCCAGCAGCUAUGAAAAGCAGAAUGAGCGUUAAGAAUCUGAUUACCUUUUAACUAAAUUCAAAACAAAGUUGUGGGAUGAAGUGACUGGAAGCGUCCUGCCAGUCUGACGUGGGUAUCGCUGCCGUGCAUGUUAUCUGCCUGUCUACUGAUCGCUCCUGCCUCUUGUUCUGCCGUGGUAAUUCCUUUGGGUAAGGCGUUGGGCUCUGACUGUAGUGCAUCCUGACUUCCUCCUGACCCCUGCGAGAUGUUAUCGGUGUUUGCCUUCCUCCCGUUUCACAGGGCCUCGGCUGUUGUGUGCAGAGAAGCUGUCAGCCUUGUAAGAGAGCACGCCGCCGGCAAGCGCAUCGUGGUGCUUCGGUACCAAGCUGAUACCACAGGCAUCCAUCUUUUGUUUGCGAAAAGGGAUCGCGAGGAAAUGUGCUGACGUUGGAGGGGGAAAGGUGGCGGGGGAACAGUCCUGUUGGUCAUGACGAAUUUGGGAAGAACCCGAAGGAAACUUUUCAUCCUGGGAUACAGAAGUAUUUGGUUUUAUUUCUCCGGGACCUGUGAAUUUUGAAUUUGGAGUCCUAUAUGCUGAGGACGGGCAGCUUACAGGUGAGGAAAUGUUUGGCGCUGGCGAGUUUUUCACCUUUUUCUUGGCUGAG